UACGUAGGGUGCAAGCGUUGUCCGGAAUUAUUGGGCGUAAAGAGCUCGUAGGCGGUUUGUCGCGUCGAAUGUGAAAACCCGGGGCUCAACCCCGGGCCUGCAUUCGAUACGGGCAGACUAGAGUUCGGUAGGGGAGUCUGGAAUUCCUGGUGUAGCGGUGAAAUGCGUAGAUAUCUGGAGGAACACCGGUGGCGAAGGCGGCAUCCUGGACCAACACUGACGCUGAGUGAGCGAAAGCCAGGGGAGCAAACGGG
rnacentral:rRNA from 1 species